rnacentral:rRNA from 1 species
AAGUAUUCUUCGGUGCAGCCAGCGCUUCCACAGCGCGGCAGCCCAAACCUUACACACUGUGAUUAGUUUUUUUACUAUUUGCUUUGGCUGCGCAAGUGGCCAAAGGUCUUAAACACAAAGAUUUAUAUCUUUUUUUACAAAAUUCAGUCAAUGAAGUUUUAAUACUAUAAUCUUCA